CGUAGGGAGCAAGCGUUGUCCGGAUUUACUGGGUGUAAAGGGUGCGUAGGCGGCUUUACAAGUCAGGCGUGAAAUAUAUGGGCUUAACCCAUAGACUGCGUUUGAAACUGUAGAGCUUGAGUGAAGUAGAGGUAGGCGGAAUUCCCGGUGUAGCGGUGAAAUGCGUAGAGAUCGGGAGGAACACCAGUGGCGAAGGCGGCCUACUGGGCUUUAACUGACGCUGAGGCACGAAAGCAAUGGGUAGCAAACAGGAUU
rnacentral:rRNA from 1 species